rnacentral:misc_RNA from 1 species
UGGGCUCGAACGGCUUAAGAUCAUCCUUGGAAACAGGGACUUCUCGCAAGAGACUUGAGUCGAGGUGCUGCAUGGCUGUCGUCAGCUCGUGUCGUGAGAUGUUGGGUUAAGUCCCGCAACGAGCGCAACCCUUGUCCUGUGUUGCCACUCCGUAAGGAAGCACUCUCAGGAGACCGCCAGCGAUAAGUUGGAGGAAGGUGGGGAUGACGUAAGGAUAG